rnacentral:rRNA from 1 species
UACAGAGGGUGCAAGCGUUAAUCGGAAUUACUGGGCGUAAAGCGCGCGUAGGUGGUUUGUUAAGUUGGGUGUGAAAGCCCCGGGCUCAACCUGGGAACUGCAUCCAAAACUGGCCAACUAGAGUACAGUAGAGGGUGGUGGAAUUUCCUGUGUAGCGGUGAAAUGCGUAGAUAUAGGAAGGAACACCAGUGGCGAAGGCGACCACCUGGACUGAUACCGACACUGAGGUGCGAAAGCGUGGGGAGCAAACAGG